AGCGAACGCUGGCGGCAGGCCUAACACAUGCAAGUCGAACGAACCUUUCGGGGUUAGUGGCGGACGGGUGAGUAACACGUGGGAACGUGCCUUUAGGUUCGGAAUAACUCAGGGAAACUUGUGCUAAUACCGAAUGUGCCCUUCGGGGGAAAGACUAAUCGCCUUUAGAGCGGCCCGCGUCUGAUUAGCUAGUUGGUUGAGGUAAUGGCUCACCAAGGCGACGAUCAGUAGCUGGUCUGAGAGGAUGAUCAGCCACAUUGGGACUGAGACACGGCCCAAACUCCUACGGGAGGCAGCAGUGGGGAAUCUUGCGCAAUGGGCGAAAGCCUGACGCAGCCAUGCCGCGUGAAUGAUGAAGGUCUUAGGAUUGUAAAAUUCUUUCACCGGGGACGAUAAUGACGGUACCCGGAGAAGAAGCCCCGGCUAACUUCGUG
rnacentral:rRNA from 1 species